UUGGAAGUGGCUACACAAAUCCAGAGCACUUGACAAAACCCAGGCAGUCACAGAGUGAACAUGAAAAAUACAAGAGACGGGUCAUCAAGGGAAUGGCGGCGUAAGGAAAGGUCUCUCGACAAAAAAGAAGAUGCCACCUGACCUGCUGAGUGUUUCCAGCAUUUACCAUUUUUAAAUCAGACUUUCAACAUUGGCAGCUCUCUUCUAUUCAAUAAACUUCUUUUGAUUAAUGUUUAUACUGAUAUUUUUCCAUUCAUGAAUUUAGAAGUUUAGUGGAUUUAAUAUUACAGUAAUGUUUG